CACGUAGGGGGCGAGCGUUGUCCGGAUUUAUUGGGCGUAAAGAGCUCGUAGGCGGCUCGGUAAGUCAGGUGUGAAAACUCUAGGCUCAACCUAGAGACGCCACCUGAUACUGCCGUGGCUAGAGUCCGGUAGGGGAGACUGGAAUUCCUGGUGUAGCGGUGAAAUGCGCAGAUAUCAGGAGGAACACCGGUGGCGAAGGCGGGUCUCUGGGCCGAUACUGACGCUGAGGAGCGAAAGCGUGGGGAGCGAACAGG
rnacentral:rRNA from 1 species